rnacentral:tRNA from 1 species
GCGUGCGUAGCUCAGUUGGUAGAGCAACUGACUCUUAAUCAGUGGGUCCGGGGUUCGAACCCCCGCGCGCGUACCA